rnacentral:tRNA from 1 species
GCCCGAGUGGCGGAAUUGGUAGACGCGCACGAUUCAGGGUCGUGUUCCCUUACGGGAGUGCUGGUUCGAUUCCAGUCUCGGGCACCU